UUGGCGAGGGCGGCGGCGGCCGGCGUGCUCGCUUGGGAGGAUGGAGGCUGCCUCACCGGGGCUCGGGCGCGGCAGCAUGGCGUCGGGCCGUUGCCGAUGGCGCCGGGGCCGGGGCGGUGGUUUGACGGGCGACGAGGAGGAGGUGCUGUCCUGGAGCCAGCGACGGCGACUGCAGCUUGACGAUGCCGGCGUCAACAGCUUGCUUCAGGGGCUGCAGGCCGUGAACGGCGUUGUGCUUGCGCGCGAGACCCGUGUCUGAUUUGGAAAGAAUCAAUCCGGUGAAGAAGAAGGCCAAUGCAAUUGCUCUCUAGCUAGGCAUUGGAGUAUCUGCACCCCCAAUGGAACGCUACGAAUUGCUGCUGGUACUGAACAUUGACAGGCAAGCAACAACAAACAGACUUUGCUGUUUUCAGUCUAUUGAGAUAUUUGUUGGGCAUCACCGAGGAACGCCAGCAAAGGCGUGAAGAAAUACUCGCAAUCAGUGUGACAUGUCGUGUGAGAUGAAGGUGGCAAACCAUCCAAACUUGAAGCCAAGCAUGUGGUGGAUCCGCCAUGGAUGAUGGAUGGACCGAAGGAAGAUUGAACCGCCUUUUGGUUUAGGUAGAAGCACCCAUUGAUGUUUUCCAGUUCUUUGUAUUCAUUCUAUUAUGUGCUAUAAUAGUUAAUUGCAUAUAUAUGUACUAUGUUUGGAUAUUCUCACGCAACAUCUAUGUACAACAGAUGCAGAUUUUCAGAAUAUUUAACCAAAAACCUUUGCCUGCACUGUUCAGAAUAUGAAGCCAUAUUAUAACAAAG